rnacentral:rRNA from 1 species
AUUGAACGCUGGCGGCAUGCCUUACACAUGCAAGUCGAACGGCAGCGCGGGGCAACCUGGCGGCGAGUGGCGAACGGGUGAGUAAUAUAUCGGAACGUACCCUGGAGUGGGGGAUAACGUAGCGAAAGUUACGCUAAUACCGCAUACGAUCUAAGGAUGAAAGUGGGGGAUUCGCAAGAACCUCAUGCUCCUGGAGCGGCCGAUAUCUGAUUAGCUAGUUGGUGGGGUAAAGGCCUACCAAGGCAUCGAUCAGUAGCUGGUCUGAGAGGACGACCAGCCACACUGGAACUGAGACACGGUCCAGACUCCUACGGGAGGCAGCAGUGGGGAAUUUUGGACAAUGGGCGAAAGCCUGAUCCAGCAAUGCCGCGUGAGUGAAGAAGGCCU